rnacentral:rRNA from 1 species
UACGGGGGGGGCAAGCGUUGUUCGGAAUUACUGGGCGUAAAGGGCGCGUAGGCGGCCUUCUAAGUCGGACGUGAAAUCCCUCGGCUUAACCGAGGAACUGCGUCCGAUACUGAAAGGCUUGAAUCCGGGAGAGGGAUGUGGAAUUCCAGGUGUAGAGGUGAAAUUCGUAGAUAUUGGCUGGAACACCGGUGGCGAAAGCGGCUCUCUGGCCCGGUUCUGACGCUGAGGCGCGAAAGCGUGGGGAGCAAACAGG